UACCUGAUUCAGCGGCGGACGGGUGAGUAAUGCCUAGGAAUCUGCCCGAUAGUGGGGGACAACGUUUCGAAAGGAACGCUAAUACCGCAUACGUCCUACGGGAGAAAGUGGGGGAUCUUCGGACCUCACGCUAUCGGAUGAGCCUAGGUCGGAUUAGCUAGUUGGUGAGGUAAUGGCUCACCAAGGCGACGAUCCGUAACUGGUCUGAGAGGAUGAUCAGUCACACUGGAACUGAGACACGGUCCAGACUCCUACGGGAGGCAGCAGUGGGGAAUAUUGGACAAUGGGCGAAAGCCUGAUCCAGCCAUGCCGCGUGUGUGAAGAAGGUCUUCGGAUUGUAAAGCACUUUAAGUUGGGAGGAAGGGCAGUAAGCUAAUACCUUGCUGUUUUGACGUUACCAACAGAAUAAGCACCGGCUAACUCUGUGCCAGCAGCCGCGGUAAUACAGAGGGUGCAAGCGUUAAUCGGAAUUACUGGGCGUAAAGCGCGCGUAGGUGGUUCAGCAAGUUGGAUGUGAAAUCCCCGGGCUCAACCUGGGAACUGCAUCCAAAACUACUGAGCUAGAGUACGGUAGAGGGUGGUGGAAUUUCCUGUGUAGCG
rnacentral:rRNA from 1 species